rnacentral:rRNA from 1 species
CAGCCGCCACGGGAAUACGUAGGUGGCAAGCGUUGUCCGGAAUUAUAGGGCGUAAAGCGCGCGCAGGUGGUUUAAUAAGUCUGAUGUGAAAGCCCACGGCUCAACCGUGGAGGGUCAUUGGAAACUGUUAAACUUGAGUGCAGGAGAGAAAAGUGGAAUUCCUAGUGUAGCGGUGAAAUGCGUAGAGAUUAGGAGGAACACCAGUGGCGAAGGCGGCUUUUUGGCCUGUAACUGACACUGAGGCGCGAAAGCGUGGGGAGCAAACAGGAUUAGAUACCCCUGUAGUCCCUGUCUCUUAUAC